UUUGACCUCAAAUCAGGUAGGACUACCCGCUGAACUUAAGCAUAUCAAUAAGCGGAGGAAAAKAAACUAACAAGGAUUCCCCUAGUAACGGCSAGUGAAGAGGGAAAGCUCAAAUUUGAAAUCUGGCGGUCUACGGCCGUCCGAGUUGUAAUCUAGAGAAGUGUUUUCCGCGCUGGAUCGUGUACAAGUCCUUUGGAACAAGGCGUCAUGGAGGGUGAGAAUCCCGUCUACGACACGACCUCCCAGUGCUCUGUGAUACACUCUCAACGAGUCGAGUUGUUUGGGAAUGCAGCUCAAAAUGGGUGGUAAAUUCCAUCUAAAGCUAAAUACAGGCGAAAGACCGAUAGCGAACAAGUACCGUGAGGGAAAGAUGAAAAGCACUUUGGAAAGAGAGUUAAACAGUACGUGAAAUUGUUGAAAGGGAAACGCUUGAAGUCAGUCGCGUCUUCAGAAAUUCAGCCUUGGCUUUUGCUGGGUGUAUUUUUCUGUAGGACGGGCCAGCAUCAGUUUUGGCCGCCAGAAAAAGGUGGGAGGAAGGUGGCACCUCCGGGUGUGUUAUAGCCUCCCGUCGUAUAUGGCGGCUGGGACUGAGGACUGCAGCACGCCUUUAUGGCCGGGGUUCGCCCACGUAACGUGCUUAGGAUGCUGGCGUAAUGGCUUUAAGCGACCCGUCUUGAAACACGGACCAAGGAGUCUAACAUGCCUGCGAGUAUUUGGGUGGUAAACCCAUAUGCGGAAUGAAAGUGAACGGUUGGGACUUCUGUCAUGGAAGGCACCGACGCCCGGACCAGACCUAUUGUGACGGAUCCGAGGUAGAGCAUGUAUGUUGGGACCCGAAAGAUGGUGAACUAUGCCUGAGUAGGGUGAAGCCAGAGGAAACU
rnacentral:rRNA from 1 species